rnacentral:rRNA from 1 species
UACGGAGGGUGCAAGCGUUAUCCGGAUUCACUGGGUUUAAAGGGUGCGUAGGUGGGCAGGUAAGUCAGUGGUGAAAUCUCCGGGCUUAACCCGGAAACUGCCAUUGAUACUAUCAGUCUUGAAUACCGUGGAGGUAAGCGGAAUAUGUCAUGUAGCGGUGAAAUGCUUAGAUAUGACAUAGAACACCAAUUGCGAAGGCAGCUUACUGCCCGAAUAUUGACACUGAGGCACGAAAGCGUGGGGAUCAAACAGG